GAUGAACGCUGGCUACAGGCUUAACACAUGCAAGUCGUGGGGAAACGGCAUUAUGUGCUUGCACAUUCUGGACGUCGACCGGCGCACGGGUGAGUAUCGCGUAUCCAACCUGCCCCUUACUUGGGGAUACCCCGUUGAAAGACGGCCUAAUACCCGAUGUGUUUCAUUGACGGCAUCCGAUAUGAAACAAAGGUUUUCCGGUAAGGGAUGGGGAUGCGUCUGAUUAGCUUGUUGGCGGGGCAACGGCCCACCAAGGCGACGAUCAGUAGGGGUUCUGAGAGGAAGGUCCCCCACAUUGGAACUGAGACACGGUCCAAACUCCUACGGGAGGCAGCAGUGAGGAAUAUUGGUCAAUGGACGCAAGUCUGAACCAGCCAAGUAGCGUGCAGGAUGACGGCCCUAUGGGUUGUAAACUGCUUUUAUGUGGGAAUAAAGUGGCGCACGUGUGCGCCAUUGCAUGUACCUCAUGAAUAAGGACCGGCUAAUUCCGUGCCAGCAGCCGCGGUAAUACGGAAGGUCCGGGCGUUAUCCGGAUUUAUUGGGUUUAGAGGGAGUGUAGGCGGUCUGUUAAGCGUGUUGUGAAAUUUAGGUGCUCAACAUUUAACUUGCAGCGCGAACUGUCAGACUUGAGUACACGCAGCGCAGGCGGAAUUCAUGGUGUAGCGGUGAAAUGCUUAGAUAUCAUGAGGAACUCCGAUCGCGAAGGCAGCCUGCGGGAGUGUUACUGACGCUUAAGCUCGAAGGUGCGGGUAUCGAACAGG
rnacentral:rRNA from 1 species